rnacentral:rRNA from 1 species
CCUACGGGUGGCAGCAGUAGGGAAUCUUUCACAAUGGGCGAAAGCCUGAUGGAGCAACGCCGCGUGCAGGAUGAAGGCCUUCGGGUUGUAAACUGCUUUUAUAAGCGAGAAAUAUGAUGGUAACUUAUGAAUAAGGAUCGGCUAACUACGUGCCAGCAGCCGCGGUCAUACGUAGGAUCCGAGCAUUAUCCGGGGUGACUGGGUGUAAAGAGUUGCGUAGGUGGCAUAAUAAGUAGCUAGUGAAAUCUGGUGGCUCAACCAUUCAGACUAUUAGCUAAACUGUUAAGCUCGAGACCGUUAGGGGUAACUGGAAUUUCUAGUGUAGGAGUGAAAUCCGUAGAUAUUAGAAGGAACACCAAUAGCGUAGGCAGGUUGCUGGGACGGUUCUGACGCUAAGGCACGAAAGCGUAGGGAGCAAACGGGAUUAGAUACCCCAGUAGUC